rnacentral:tRNA from 1 species
UCGGGAUAGCUCAGCUGGUAGAGCAGAGGACUGAAAUUCCUCGUUUCACCAUUACAAAU